GAACGCCUAAUGCGUUGAAAAUCGCACGUUGGGUGUAGAGCAGGGGAAAAGAUGGAGAUUACAUCAAAGUCUUACCUAUUGCUAU
rnacentral:ncRNA from 1 species